rnacentral:lncRNA from 1 species
CUACAGUCACAAGGUUUUUUGCUAGUACAGCAGGAAUUGGUGAUGGACUCGAUAACAGUUCCUGGUGAGUUUACAAGCUUUUCGAGAUAAAGGAAAUUGGUGGAAUCUGAACUGCCUCUAGAGCUGCAUUUCCAGUUUUGCAAAGAUUUCCCCAGAACAGAGUCGUGCAUCCCCGCUGCAAGUCAUUCUGGUUCUUCUACGUGGGAUGCUGCCACAGAAUGGCUUGAUGAGUGGUGCUUACGUCUGCGCCCAGGAUCUGAACCAGGGAACCCUGGGCUGCCGAUGUGAGUGCACUAACCUGGCCAGAGGGCCAGAUGGCCCGCCCCAAGCUUAUUUUUUUUAGCUUUUUGGAUCAAAACUUUCAAGAAGGUUAUUUUGGAAUUUUGACAUCUUUGCUUUAAAGAGCACUUUUUAAAUGAUCUUAUCUAAUUGGAACGUUCCUUUUGAUGGCCAAUGUAAU